rnacentral:rRNA from 1 species
UAAUACGUAGGUGGCAAGCGUUAUCCGGAAUUACUGGGCGUAAAGCGCACGCAGGUGGUUGGGUAAGAUUGACGUGAAACCUUCUGGCUUAACUGGAAGACGUCGUUGAUGACUGCUCGACUUGAGACGAGGAGAGGGGUGCAGAAUUCCCGGUGUAGUGGUGGAAUGCGUAGAUAUCGGGAGGAAUACCAGUGGCGAAAGCGGCACCCUGGCCUUAGUCUGACGCUCAGGUGCGAAAGCGUGGGGAGCGAACGGG